UUCUUUUGACAGAAAAAACUAUUUUAAAUAUUUGUUUAGAUGUAACUCCUUAAGAGGACAUGUUGCACCUCUUACAAUGCAAACUUUUUAUAGUGUUAAAGCUUUGAUUUUCUUUUGAGCCAUCGUAAAGUACAAACAAUUGCUUUUUGCCCUGUUAAUUCUGCCAGACCCUCAAUAACUUGCCAGAUUCAUUGAGACAGAAACUUUUCAGGGAUGCUGUAAGAAAUUGUGUCUGUUGGGUAAAGCAUAGAAUUGGCUACUGGCCUGCUCAGAAGCCGCGUUUAGAUAUUUCAAAAGCUAAUUAAGAUUUUGUACCAUGUGUGCAUUGAGAGCUCUCAGCCACUAUAACUGGCAUGAUAAAACUUCUGAACACUGCAUUAUUUUAUUUUUUUUACAAAGAGUACAAAUAUGUACGCUGUUAUGUCUUAUCGGAUGUCCUCACGGAGGCCUGGCACUGCAUGACCUUGACUGGCCCUGAAUUUGAAGAUGUGGAGUUCCUACUGUUGAGGGUCAGCUUGGCGUUUAAUCUUGUCCAUUUUGAGGGUUCAGGUGUAGGACUUGUCUCCAUUUGUAACCCUUUGCGGGCUGUGGAUGAAGGCUACGCUGUACUGUCUGAACUCCACUGCAUCGGCGAGGUACUCUGGGUGGCACUAUGAAGGCUGAGUCCCAAGAAGACCGAGGAAUCACAUUACCUCCCGAGCCCCGAAUGCCCUCUCACCCACUGCAGCUUGAAAUAAACAAGAGGAACAUGGCUACUACUAGAGUUCAUAGCUUCUCACCUACUGCCGCUUGGAAGAAGGACCGACUUGUAACCACACUAGGAUUGUUUCAGAACCAACCGGAAAACCUCAGUUAAUCGUCUGGGGUUAUAUAGUAUAGUACGUUUUGAUUGGUUUAGUUGGGCUUUAAGCUCUAUUUUCUGUUCUAGAUGUCCGUCUAUAUGAUCAAGAAACGAUCUGUAAUUCUGAGAGGACAAUUCCUGUUGUUUUCAAUUGUAUUUGGCCAUUGUAAUUAAAUAGUUGCAUGUUAUGCAGUAUUUUAAGAAGGAAGAUAUUGGGACACGUUGGUGUAAAAGUUACUGGGAAAAUUAUAACUGUCCCACCCACCAAUAUUGCCUUUUUGAUGCUGUUAGAUACUGUUCAAUCUACGGCCCAUCUAUUUAGAUUGAAUCUUUAUGACUGUUAGUUAUCGUAGUUUCAUUGUGAUCAGUUUUAACCACUUCAAAGAUGAACACCUUUAAACCGUUUAUAAUUCUAUUGUGUCAGUGGAUUCGCUCAAUAGUACAAUAUAUCUUAGUGAGGGUUUGGAAAGCUUUCCCAGCGGCAGUCCAUAUUUUGACGACUCCACCAGAAUGCACGGGCCUGGAGUCUCCCGAAACACCGUCGGAAGAGUGGAGGACCAGUGAGGUGUUGCGAACAUAUCACUCCGGAGGUGAAAGUGCAACCGUAGUGAUGGUUCAAACGGACACACAUGCCUUCCAUGUGGAUCUGGAAAGGCUUUCAGAGUGCAGUGAGUAUUUCCGGGGGCUGUCCCAGUCCAGAAUGAGGGAGUUGUCUGAGGGUCUGAUCCGCCUGGGUCAUGUGCCUUCCUCCAUCUUCCACAACCUCCUCGAGUUCUCCUUCCAUCAGCGGUUCACCGUGCCAGAGGAGGAGCUGGCGGAUACCAUCCAGGUAUCCAGCUACCUCCUGGCUGAGGCCUUCCUCUCAGAGUGUCUGGCGGUCCUCGCCGAAGUGCUCACACCAGAGAACUGCCUGCCCUAUCUCGGCCUGGCCGAGGACAUCAGCUGCGCCAAGCUGAGGACGACAGUGUUCACCUUCCUGAGCAGAAACCUUCUGGAGCAGUCGCACCUGACCCGGGGUGUCAGCCCUGAGGAGAUGGAGGAGCUGAUUGGUCUGAGAGCCCAGGGGCGCCGGGGACUCUGUGUCCUCAGGAAGGAGAACAUCCUAUCCCGGGACGCCCCGGAGACCGCACGCGCCCGCCAUCUCUACAGACUGUCGGAGGACGGGGGAGCCUCGUCGUGGCACCCCAUCUCUGAGCUUCCGUUCAGGGCAGACAAAUGGUGCUACACCGCAGUGGUGCUGUUCAACUACCUGUACAUCCUGGGCGGGUACAGGCAGCCAAUCAGAAGAGGCUGGGAGUUCAAAAUGGCCUCUUUUCGAUACAAUCCUUUGUCACACACAUGGGUCGCCACGGCUCCUCUGAUCAAGCGCAGGAGGCAUUUCAGCGCGGUGGCGUGUGAGGGAGGUAUCUACGCCGUUGGCGGCUGGUAUCUGGACUCCCUGGUGAGUCCGGACUCCAACACAGCCCUGUACACCGCCGUGGAGCGCUACGACCCCUGGGGCGACUCCUGGAGGUUUGUGUCUUCACUUCCUCUAUCUGGUUCCCAGUUCACAGUGUCUAUGUCCCACGACGUUCCCCUGGCAACCAGCUUAGGUCAUUGUGUCUAUGUGCUGGGCAGCAUCCAGAGAACCGGAGAGAAACUACUUCUGCAGUACAACACGACAGAAGACUGCUGGUCGGAGCUUCUCCCUACCCUGACCAGAGCGGACGCCGACCUGCCCACCCUCUACUUCCUGGGUGCCACGGACACCCUGAUCGUGAUUGGAGGAAACGCCGCUGAGAAUGUGGUGACAUCAUUCUGUCCGCGGACACGCCGGUGGGGAGAGAUCCACGCGGCCUCCAAGGUGGCCUUGGCGGGCCAGGGGACUGUGUUAGAGGAGCACGUGCUGAUGCCAGCGACAGAGCACCGAGGAGUGGUGCGGCUGGACCUGCAGGACCUGACCCUGAGCGCGCUGCCUCCUCUGCCUCUGACGGCUCGCUAUGAGGCCGUCUUUCACUUGUACUUUUGAUUACUCUCGAGUAUACUUUGUCCCCCUAACCUCUUCAUCCCCCCCCUCCCAAGGACGUCGUAAGGCAUUUAAACAUACUGCUGGUCGGAGCUUCUCCCUACCCUGACCAGAGCGGACGCCGACCUGCCCGCCCUCUACUUCCUGGGUGCCACGGACACCCUGAUCGUGAUUGGAGGAAACGCCGCUGAGAAUGUGGUGACAUCAUUCUGUCCGCGGACACGCCGGUGGGGAGAGAUCCACGCGGCCUCCAAGGUGGCCUUGGCGGGCCAGGGGACUGUGUUAGAGGAGCACGUGCUGAUGCCAGCGACAGAGCACCGAGGAGUGGUGCGGCUGGACCUGCAGGACCUGACCCUGAGCUUGCUGCCUCCUCUGCCUCUGACGGCUCGCUAUGAGGCCGUCUUUCACUUGUACUUUUGAUUACUCUCGAGUAUACUUUGUCCCCCUAACCUCUUCAUCCCCCCCCUCCCAAGGACGUCGUAAGGCAUUUACACAUGUAAGAAAGCACUUAAAUGUGACACACCCCCAGAACUAUAGUCUUAUCUCAACAUUAACUUUCAGUCUAGUAUAACCAGUAUACCAUUAGCUCAAUUAAACACAAUUCCAACCCCAAGCAAAAUGAUAAGCAUGUGAAAACAAGUUGCAUGCUUUAUGUUUAGUAUUUAUGUAGCUAUGCAUUUAAUAACUGUGCAGGUGUACAAGCCCAGCAAUAGCAAUCUUUUUCAUUCCUAUAACAAUACCCAUAUCACUCAGUGACCAAAACUUGCUGAAAAGAAACAGAGCAAGUACAACCACCAAUGAUGUCUUACCGAUGUUGUUCAACUCAUCAAAGUUUUGUUUAAUUGCAUUAAAUCGCCAUAAACUGAUAAUCCAUUGUCUGGGCACCAUUCUGAAACCUCAAAUACUGUUUACGAUCAGUGAGUCCAGACUAUUGUCUUGUUACUUUGGAAGGUUCCUAACUGGGUGAAAUGACCCAGAAGUAUCUGAGUGGCAGCCACAAUAAGAGCUGGAUUCUCUAAAUAAUAGGGAGAUUCAAUGCUUCCUUUCUUAUUUCCUUUAGUUACCUUUAGCAUAAGUGUAGUCGGAUUCUCUGUAGUCCAUUCCUAAAUCCUUCACAUCUUCCCUUGACCUCCUGACGUUUUCCAUCGAGGUCAAGGAGAAGAGGUGAGGAAAGGACAAAGGAUGUUAUUAUUAGUUAUUACUACCACAGUCUUUAUUGCCAGCUAGUGGCCUCAUGUUGCACCUGCAUGGUUUGGCGGGGGUCAUUCAAUUAUAUUCGUCCUGACCUUUCAAUAGAGGGGUCAUAUUAUGUCAAAAUGGGAUUAUGCGUUGUUUAGAUACUGACCUGUUUGUUUGUAAACUAGUUUGUAUUAUCAUUUUUGAAUUGGAUUUAUUGUUUAUAUUUUAAGUUUGUUUGUCAUUGUGGGAAUUGUUUAU